rnacentral:rRNA from 1 species
GACGAACCGUGCGAACGUUGUUCGGAAUCACUGGGCCUAAAGGGCGCGUAGGCGGGCUCGCAAGUCCGGGGUGAAAGCCCCCAGCUCAACUGGGGAAGUGCCUUGGAUACUGCGGGCCUCGAGGGAGGUAGGGGCGUGCGGAACUUCCGGUGGAGCGGUGAAAUGCGUAGAUAUCGGAAGGAACACCGGUGGCGAAAGCGGCGCGCUGGACCUCUUCUGACGCUGAGGCGCGAAAGCCAGGGGAGCAAACGGG